rnacentral:tRNA from 1 species
AUUAAAUGGCUGAAGUUUAGGC